GAUGCGCUGGUGUUUUGCAGUGACCAAAUCGGAGUCUUUUUAUUGUAGCAAUGAAGUUCCUAUUAUCUGCAUCUUUGUUUUUGUCAUAUCAAGGUCUUAGCGGCGGGGUAGUUUGUAUAGUUGUGUAACACUUGCCUUUAUCUUUAGUUAUAAACUUCCAGUACCUACUCAAGCCACAGUGUUUUGAAGUUUCCUGUUAUCAAUUCGUAGUAAUCUCUUAAAAAGCCAGGAAUGUCUGCUGAGUAUCGAACUCGUUACCGUCUUAAAGGAGAAUUCAUAAGUGUAAAUGAGUCCCAAUGAAAGACUUCCUGGUAGACGAAUAUCACUUAGAAUCUGGAUAAGGAUGGAAGGAUUAACAUUAUCAAAGGCUUCACUUAUAUCAAGAAAAGUGCAGUAUAAGAGUGGCUAUGGAAAGACAUUAUUAUGUCUGCUAAAAGAGAAGUGAAGCUCUCAACUGCACUUUUACCUCUAAGGAAACCAAAUUGUUGCUUAGGUGUAGCAUACUUGUCCAAAGAAGAGGGGAUCCAUUCAUCAUUUUUAGGCAGUUUUUGACAUGUUACACACAUAAAUCUACGAAUGUUGUUCCAAAUCAUACUAACAGGAGUGUGCCUAUCUAUUGAAUGCUGAGCAUAAAUUUCUCCAGCCUAACUUCUUUUUCUCGCUUAGUGUUCUUUUAGAUUGCAUCCACUUUUUUGUAUUUCAUAAAAUUGUCUAUUGUAAUGUAUUUCUUGAUGUUAAAAUUAUAGUCAAGAUCCAUAUUAAAUCAGACAGAAAAACAUCUUUUAUUUUAUUUAACGUAACCAGUGUAUUAUCAGGUGUAUUUGCUAAAGCCACCAGGGAUUUAAUUAUGGCACUCAUUAUAAUUUCAUUGUAGCAAUGCCAAUAGACAUUUUUUUUCUACUACUACAGGAUUAGGUUUUAUUUACUAAAGAGGGAGUGGGAGUACUAUUUACAAUUUUUUGUUUUAAAGCUGGGAAAUUCAUAUCAUCCUUUACUAGAGAGGCAGGUUUGUUUGUUAA